AAUAAUGUCAAGUACAAUAUCGACUUGCUGACAAUGUGAUAAAAAUGUUCCAAAAAAUAACACGUAAAGAGACAAAGGGUAAGUUAUCAAUCGUUUCCGUCACCCCUUAAAAUUUAUGUAAUCUAAGAUGUAAUAAGAAUAGGCGAACAUGUAACGGAACAUUAGUUUGUGUGCACAACUUGUACUGGAGGGUUUUAAAGAGGAAGGCCAGAUCAAAAGAUCAAGGUUAACAAUAGUAGUUUGUUCGUUACACGAAGAGCUGGACGGCUAGCAAAACAGCCGUGAGGCGGGGAAACAUUCUUCUUGUGCAUUUUGCGGUAUUGUAUAGCGAUGUUGUAUGAAAGUGCGAAAAAAGAAAUUUGUACAAGGAACAAGGUACAACUCAAAAAUGGAGAGCGCAGUUAAGUUAGGCUGUCACCAUGAAUUAAAAAUAAUGACACAUUCAAGUUUAUCUGAAAAGCUAUAAAGCAAUUUUCUCCUUAUCAAUUACUCAAGUUUCAAGCGAACUAAACAAUUUUCUCAAAAUUUUUUAAUUUUUUUUUUUAUUUCUUUUAAAUUUUUUUCUCUUUUUUUUUUAAUUCCCUUUUUUUCGUUUUUCAUCUUGUACCUUCCGUCCAUUUGCUCCCUUCUCCUCCUCCUUUUACUUUCCCCUUGUGCUGUUCUCAUACACUAGGCAUAUUUUAAAAAUAUUUACACCCCUGACUUACUUGGUCAGUAAGAGUUACAAUGGUAGUACUAAGAGGGAAAGAAAGUAAAGUCCCGAUUCGAUAAAAAACCUGAUUUUUCAUGAGACAACAUCCCCAGUUUCAGCGUUUAGUAGAUAGCGAAUGGGAUGGUUGAAAGUUGAGGGUAAUUGUUUGCUAAACAUGAUCGCUAAAAGGAGCACGGUAUGCGUGUUUCCACAAUUCAUGAAGUUCCCCUGACUGUAGCGGUUUCCCUUGUUUUUACCAAUAUCUAUUUCUGGUAACUAUGAUUUCGC